UGAUUAUCCAAUCAGCAUAUUAAUUGGCUUAACGAUGAACAUGAAUUAGAAAAUAAUUCCAAUCUUUUUGGAGUAAGUCCUUAAAUACAUCUGAUGAGACGAGCAUUCAAACCCAAGAUGAAAUAUUGAUUUGAUAGUUUUUGGAUGGCAAUCACUGAGUCAGUUUCAACCUGAAUCUUCUUAAAGCCCCUGUUCCAACACAAUUGAAGACCCCAAUAUAUGGCCCAAAGUUCUGCACUAACAGAAAAAGAGUUACCUAUUUUAUACGUAAACCCCAAGAUCCAAUUUCCAUUUGCAUCUCUAACCACGCCUUUGACAACUUAAUGUCCCUACAUUUUCUCGACCUCCUAAUCGAAUUUUUAUUAAAAAAUUAUUUAUAACCAUCAAAUUAAUAAGGUAUAAUAUUUAAAAAAGCUCUUAAAUUAUUUUAAAAAAUUUAAAUAAGUUUGUAGUUUUUUAUUACGUUCAAUUAAGCACAUAUAUUUUUAUUUUGAGCUAAAUAAAUUCUUAUAACUAAUGGUUAGCUAAUUAUUAUUAGUCAAAACAAUACUUGUCAUUUUAUAUCAUGUGGUGUAAAUGUAGCAUAUUGACAUAUCACAAUAAACGAUAUCUUAGCAUAUUAAUUUAGCAUGAUGAUAUGACCAUAUGACAUUUUUACCUUCUACAUCAUUACCACGUGAGCAUAAACAAAUAAAUGACAAUUUGACUAAUGAUAAUUAAUUCACUAUUAAUUUUAAAAGAUUAAUUAUGCAAUUAAUCUUUACUCUUUAUAAAAAAAUGUGGAUUUAUAGUACCUAUGUAACAAUUUGUAUAAACUGAGUCUUUAUGUCACGACCCGGCACUUCCCUUGAGCCCGUGACAACCGCUGCGACGUCCCAAUAGACAUUCGUUACCCGGAGUGCCAAUUGGAAUCCCGCAAGGCUUUAGUACCAUUUUUCUCAUCUCCCAUGUGAGUAAUCAUCGUCAAACCUCGUUUUUAAAGAAUUUUAAGCUUUUUCCCUUUCAAAACAGUAGAAAAAUAAUUUUCGCCUCACAAGGGCGUUUUCGUCAUUUUUCUUCGAAAUUUUUCAAACCUGACUAAAAAUGUAGUAGAUGAGUGAAAAACAUAUAUUUCAUGAUUUAAAAUAAAUUUUAGUGCUUAAAAUAUUUAUUAAAAAUGAUAUUGCAACUAUUUGAAUAAAAUAAAAAUAUUCAAAAAAAUAUUUUAAUUUCUUGUAAAACAAUAUUUAUAGAGUCAUCGGUAUAUAAUUUUUGUAAUGUAAAAGCUAAAUAAAUUCAUAUGUACUAUAAUACAGAUAACCAGGAUAUAAAAUUUACUUUACAGUGACUCGUGGGCCCACAAGGAACAAAAGUGCACAAAGACAGUAAACCUACAGUUUUUGGAGUAGUAAAGUCGACUAUAAUCCUUGGUGAUAUCUGCUAUCCACAGGCUACCUCGAGCCUAAAAUGGUUGAAAAGGAGGGUAAUGAGAUUAUAAAAUCUUAGUGAGUAAACAGAUACCAUCUAAACCAUUUAAAAUCGAAUAAAUUGAGACAAUUAAAAUAAGUCAUCAUACUGUAAUUUCAUUACCUUUCAACUCAUUUCAACCAAAUAAAAUCAAUUCAUAUAAAUCGAGUAAUCAACAUGGCUUAUGAAUUUCUUAAAACUUAGCUCAUGCCAAAAAUUAUUCUCAUACUCAGUUAUCAGGGACACCUUGGCCGAGGGCUAUCCCAAACCGAGUCCGUCAAGGCUAUUAAAAAGUUAUGUACGCAUAAAUCAUGUUUUUAUUUAGAAAACACAGCUGUUCCUUGGCGUUGGCUGAGUUCCCCCUCACGUGGUGGUUUAGUGUGAAGUGAACUCUAAGGUCAUACCUCGGGAGUUACUCUACUCGUCUUUCUAAUUGAGGUAAAAUAUAUCGAGAUUUCGUACCCCUCUAAUAGACUGAUCCACAGAAAACCCACUCCCUACAGCAGGUUAAACAUACCAUACAAUAAAUUUUUGACAGCAUGACAUGACUAAUAUAAUACUAUCCAGCUUGUAAAUGUAAAACAGGACAAUUCAUACAAUUCACCAAAAACACAAUCAGCCAGUCAUACCAACACAUUAACAUAAGCCAUCAAUUCAGAUCAUAAAUUUACAACAAAUCAGACGUCUCCAUUUACUCUAUUUUCAAAAUCAUCAUUCAAUCUCAAGACAAUUUAUAAAAUCUUUUCAUUUAAACACAUUUUGUUUAUAAACAUAAAGGUUUACUAUUUAAACUCAUUUUCCAUAAAAUCAUAAAAUCGGAUAAAAACCACUUUAGAUAAUUAAGACGAUAGUAAGGUUACUCACCAUACUAGGAGUUCGAUAUACUCUUAUUUUCGGGUCUUCGGGCACAAUCUCUUUACCCUUGUUAGAGGGCUCACCACCUAUACAUCAUACGUGACACGAAUUUCAAUAAAUUGUGUUAAUUUAUUAUGAACUCUUUCAGGCUCUAUAAAUCUAUAUGAAUGCACGAAAUGUGAUGCAAAAUGUCCGAAUAGUCGUUUAAAUACGGUAUUCGACCUAAUUCGCACUAUUCUCGGUGUAAUUGGCUAAAACCUCCAAUUUAACUCCAAAUCAAUUUCUUUCACUUUCUACACUUCAAUUAUACUUAAAAUACCUCAAUGACUGUGAAUAUGUUUCAAUUUAUCAGUCCGAAUCAUAAAUCGCACAUGUCUAUAUAUUAGGUAAAAAUUCAAAUUUUCAUGCCAAAAUUUUUCAUUAAAUUUCUAGCCUCACCAAUCAUUACAUACCAUCAAAAUAUCAUGAAAUAUCAUCAAUUUCAGCUUCAAUAUCCUCCAUAGAAAAUUCGGCCUCUUGUGGGUUUGUGAAGAACAAAGUGAUUCCUUGCUAGAUUUUCAUACUUUCCAUUACCAAACAACCAAAAACACUUAAUUAGCUUGAAAUCUAGCAAAAUCAAUGCUCAAAACCUCUCCUCUCAAAUUCGGCCAGCAUGGGUUCAUCAUGCAAACUUGAGUUCUAAGCAUGGAAAAUGAAAAAGAAAGCAUGGGUAGUGUAAAUCACAAGAUAAAAUCACAAAAUUUUACCUUUAUUAGCUUAAUCCCUUGAAAUCUCACACUUUUUCUUCAAUUUUCUCACCUAGGGUUUGUGUUCUUUCCUUUCCUCUUCACUUCAUUCUUUG
rnacentral:lncRNA from 1 species